rnacentral:tRNA from 1 species
AGAGGACUGAAAAUCCUCGUGUCACCAGUUCAAAAA